UGCUGCAAAAGCUCGUACAGUAACACCUGAUCCGGCUGUAUUUUCUGAUGAGCCAAAGGAUGGAGACUCUCCUGCGAGUACUCCUAGGAAUAUUAGAGUUGCAGGUGGCCUGGGUCAGUAGCCAAAAACUGGAGCAGAGUCCACUGUCCCUGACCAUCCAGGAAGGAGAAGAUUUCACUGUAAACUGCAGUUCAUCGAAGACUUUAUAUGCCCUGCACUGGUACAGGCAAAAGAACGGUGAAGGUCUAAGCUUCUUGAUGGUGUUACAGAAAAAGGGGGAAGAAAAGAGUCAUGAAAAAAUCACUGCUAAGAUGGAUGAGAAAAUGCAGCAAAGCUCCCUGCAUAUCACAGCCUCCCAGCCCAGCCACUCGGGCACCUACCUCUGUGCAGCAGGUCGCUCUGGCUUCGGAAAGCUGACAUUUGGACAAGGGACCAUCUUGACUGUCCAUCCAACUAUUCAGAACCCUGACCCCGCCGUGUAUAAGCUGAAAAGGUCUAAAUCCAGUAACAUCUCUGCCUGCCUGUUCACCGAUUUUGAUUCACAAGACAGUGUGAAAUACACCAAAGAGUCUGAUGUGAUUACAAUGGCAAGUACUGUGCUGGACAUGAAGACUAUGGAUUCCAAGAGCAACGGGGCCGUGGCCUGGAGCUACUUUGAUUCGAGAUGCAACAUGUCCUUCAAAGAGCCCCUCUACCUCAGCUCAGAAUUUUCCUGUGAUGCCAAUCUGGUAGAGAAAGGCUUUGAAACAGAUAUGAACCUAAACCUCCACAACCUGAUAGUGAUGGUGCUCCGUAUCCUCCUCCUGAAGGUGGUCGGCUUUAAUCUGUUCAUGACGCUGCGGCUGUGGUCCAGCUGAGGUCAUCAAAAAUGUGAGAGCCCAGCACUCCCCUGCUCCUGCCACACCUCCUCCCCCUCUUCAAGCAGAGAGGCACACUCCUGCCCCGAUGGAGAAGAAGGUUCCCUCCACCUCUCUGGUCCCACUGGCAACGCCACUGACCGGACCCUGUCAGAUGUUUGUGAUCAAGAUGCUGAAGAGCUGCCAAACACUGCUACACUGCUACAACCCCUUGUCCCCCCAUCGCUGCUUGUCACUGCCUGACACUCUUGGCAAAGGCGCAGGGCUGCUGUGGCCUCACCUGGCUGGGGGGAAACUCCCCUUCCUUCCCCUGAGACUGCCCAUAUGUCCCCUGGAUGAGGGAUCCCCAGUGGGUCCUAUUGGGCUCUAGCUCCUGGAGAAUGUUGGGAGGAGUUUAUAUGUUUUAAAUAAUGUUCAUAAAGGAAUAACACAUCACACUUUCACCCAAGAUGUGGGGAAAAUUAUUAUCUAGGCCCUGCUGUGCUGUGUAUCUGAACCGCAUUGUAUAUUCUGCUGCCCAUGACUUCAUUAAAAGCGACUGAAAGAGCAGA